rnacentral:rRNA from 1 species
UACGUAGGGGGCGAGCGUUGUCCGGAAUUAUUGGGCGUAAAGCGCGCGCAGGCGGUCCUUUAAGUCUGAUGUGAAAGCCCACGGCUCAACCGUGGAGGGUCAUUGGAAACUGGGGGACUUGAGUGCAGAAGAGGAGAGUGGAAUUCCACGUGUAGCGGUGAAAUGCGUAGAGAUGUGGAGGAACACCAGUGGCGGAAGGCGGCUCUCUGGGACGGUACUGACGGCUGAGACGCGAAAGCGUGGGGAGCGAACAGG